rnacentral:rRNA from 1 species
CAGCGACGCUUAUGCGUUGUUGGGUAGGGGAGCGUUCUGUAAGCCUGCGAAGGUGUGCUGUGAGGCAUGCUGGAGGUAUCAGAAGUGCGAAUGCUGACAUAAGUAACGAUAAAGCGGGUGAAAAGCCCGCUCGCCGGAAGACCAAGGGUUCCUGUCCAACGUUAAUCGGGGCAGGGUGAGUCGACCCCUAAGGCGAGGCCGAAAGGCGUAGUCGAUGGGAAACAGGUUAAUAUUCCUGUACUUGGUGUUACUGCGAAGGGGGGACGGAGAAGGCUAUGUUGGCCGGGCGACGGUUGUCCCGGUUUAAGCGUGUAGGCUGGUUUUCCAGGCAAAUCCGGAAAAUCAAGGCUGAGGCGUGAUGACGAGGCACUACGGUGCUGAAGCAACAAAUGCCCUGCUUCCAGGAAAAGCCUCUAAGCAUCAGGUAACAUCAAAUCGUACCCCAAACCGACACAGGUGGUCAGGUAGAGAAUACCAAGGCGCUUGAGAGAACUCGGGUGAAGGAACUAGGCAAAAUGGUGCCGUAACUUCGGGAGAAGGCACGCUGAUAUGUAAGUGAGGUCCCUCGCGGAUGGAGCUGAAAUCAGUCGAAGAUACCAGCUGGCUGCAACUGUUUAUUAAAAACACAGCACUGUGCAAACACGAAAGUGGAC